UACGGAGGGUGCGAGCGUUGUCCGGAAUCACUGGGCGUAAAGGGCGCGUAGGCGGCUUCUUAAGCGUGUGGUGAAAGCUCAGGGCUCAACUCUGAGUCGGCCAUGCGAACUGGGGAGGCUUGAGCACUGUAGAGGCAGGUGGAAUUCCGGGUGUAGCGGUGGAAUGCGUAGAGAUCCGGAAGAACACCGGUGGCGAAGGCGGCCUGCUGGGCAGUAGCUGACGCUGAGGCGCGACAGCGUGGGGAGCAAACAGG
rnacentral:rRNA from 1 species